rnacentral:rRNA from 1 species
GACGAACGCUGGCGGCGUGCUUAACACAUGCAAGUCGAACGGAAAGGCCCCUUCGGGGGUACUCGAGUGGCGAACAGGUGAGUAACACGUGAGUAACCUGCCCUUGACCUCGGGAUAACUUCAGGAAACUGGGGCUAAUACCGGAUAGGAAUCCUUGCUGCAUGGUGGGGGUUGGAAAGCUUCGGCGGUUUUGGAUGGACUCGCGGCUUAUCAGCUUGUUGGUGGGGUAGUGGCUUACCAAGGCUUUGACGGGUAGCCGGCCUGAGAGGGCGACCGGCCACAUUGGGACUGAGAUACGGCCCAGACUCCUACGGGAGGCAGCAGUGGGGAAUAUUGCACAAUGGGCGGAAGCCUGAUGCAGCAACGCCGCGUGCGGGAUGACGGCCUUCGGGUUGUAAACCGCUUUCAGCAGGGGCGAAGCUUGUGGUGACGGUACCUGCAGAAGAAGCACCGGCUAACUACGUG